CUUUAAUGUACACAUUUAAUGUCGAAAUCAAAAGUAAAACUUCGACUUCCAGUUAGUGCUUAAGCAACAAGAAAUAAAAGUUUUCUACACGUGGCCGCGACGGCGCAUUGUAAGCAAUGGCACAUGUCCUUCCGUCCGCGUGAGCCUAAAUUAAGAACUCGAAACAAGUUCAAACUUUUCUCGUCUGUAAACUUGAUAGACUUCCUUGAACACCUAACGUCAUCUAUAUUGCCUGAAUUCAGAUUCAACAUUUUGCAUACAUUUGGUCCUGUAUCGGUAUUAUAGAUUCUUGCAGUUUAGACCGCUGAUCAUAGAUGGCGUAAAAGUUUUUAAGGGAAAAUAGCCUUACCUGUUUCAUAACUAUAUUAGUUACGAUGAAUAUUACUAGAGUGCCUUGAGUAGCUGAUGGAUAAUGUGUAAAAGCGAAAAAUCAAUAACGAUUGGGUGUCAAAGAUUUGGUUAUAGUUAGUAACGAAUAUUAAUGGAGCGUGGUACUUAAUUUUUCAAUGAGCUCGAACGAAAGGCUCUCAAUGGCCAAGCCAUGAUUUAAAUUUUAAUUGGCAGUUUAAAUUGAAAUCGUAAUGUUUUUUAAUCUUGUAAUGUUUAUAAGUGCCUCCACAUUCUCUAAAACAUAUAUUUAAUUAAACGAAAAUUAAGGGCUGUGCGUGAUAUAAAUCAACAAAAGAAAUGUUUUUUGAAACGUAUUAGUAGGUGGCGCCUCCAAUGUACCAACCAGCACCGGGAUCGCCAUCUAGAGCGGCUCGGGGUGCACCAGAAGGGGCCCCAUCUGGGACAAAUGCAAUAGCAGACACAACUUCACCAAUGACUGUCCCUCCGAAUCCCAUAUACUAUGCUAUGAACGUCUGAUAUAAGGAUUAGGUAUUUGGAAUACACACCUGAACAAGAUGGGGCAUGGAUAAAUACAUGAUAUCGAAGAUCUACAACAAAGAAUAAUCGUUGAGUUUUGUUGUCCUUCGAAAUUUGUAAUAGUUUGAUACGGCUUUGUAAAUUCAUCAUGAAAGUUGUAUUGUGUUCAAAAAAUAUCAGUGAAGCCUAAGAGACAAACCAA